AUGUCCCGCGCCAUCAGCCGGCUGAAUGGGAUCUUCCUUCAGACAGGGACUGAGAAACGGAAAUACUACCAUCCUCUAGCCAAUCUGUUGGGAGGACUGCUUGCAGGGGACUCGUGCUCCAGAUGUUGCACUAGAGGCGCUGCAAGUGUGAGCAGGGUCCAGAGAGAGGAAAUCGCUGACAGGCUCGCUGAAACCUUGUUAGGUGACAAGCUAAGGAGAGGCCCCGGAUCAGGACAGCAGAGUUUCCUCAGAUGUGAUGUGGUGCCCCUUGCAUCCUGCUCAGAGAAUUCUCAGCAGCACAGAUCCACUUCAAGGAAACACUGACUUGAAAACUCUCCCCCAUGGUUUUGUCUGAACUGGCUGCCAUUCUGCAGCACACACCAGAUCCAAUUGCUGGAGUCGGGAACCCGAGAGGUGAGCAAGAGCAAGCACUUAGCUGAAUACACUGCCUCUAGGACUGGGACAGAUAGCCACUGAGUACCUGCGUCAAAUCACCCUGCACGUUUUCUUGUUGGAAAGAUAACCACUGGAGAACCAUCUCGUUACCUUCAGCAAAAAUGGAAACAAAUCAAGACAUUAAGAAUGCCGCAGUGGACAGCAGUUACGCAAAGUUCAGCAGAGGAAGUUUUCAAGAUGGUGUGCCUCGCUAGCCAGAAAUCAGAAAAGAUCGAAGCUAGCCUUUUCAUCUCAGCUGCUCCUUAAAUCAGUGCAACCCCUCCAAAUUAAUGUGAAUGGAAACAUGCAUUGCUUUUCAACUUAAUUGAGUAUUUACUAUAUAUGAAUCACUGCACAAAAUAGGGGAAGAAAAUGUGGGAGACAAAGAUGUGGAGCCUGCCUUCAAUAAAUUUACAGUUAGUUUCAGGGUACAUUGUUUUUCUUCUGCUGUUAAUUAGGUGUAUCCCCAAGACAAUAAAUAAAUGAAUGGAAAAGUA